GGUUGUCAUAGAACAAUAAAAAUAGUUAGGAAAAAAAUGAGAGAAUCUUACUUUAAAUGUCGUUUUUAUAGGUUUUUCCCGUCCAACCUUGCCAUAUGUUAGCUGCUAAAUACCAGGUUAAAUCCGUGCUUUCCUGGAAAAGCUUCUAAUCUGCUUCGUGAUCUUCUGAAAGGUCAUACUGAAACCCUAAACCCCUUGGGCCUCCAACAUUGUCCUUCAGUAUCCAGCCCGUACAGGUAGACCGGUCUUUGAGAGCACAGCCAAAGAGAAAACAGGAAAAGGGGCACAACUGCCCUUCCCAAAUCAGGCAAACAGAUCUUGUGUAGCUCUUUUUUCCUCUUUUCUUCAUCAUUUGCAUAAUUGCAGUACUCUUCUGAAUCACUUUGCCAGUGAAGACUUGGCUGCUAGCCCUGUAAAUUGCUUUCACAUAAAUCUGGAAGUCAAGAAGUAAGGCAUGUUGUGCCAAUUAGCCUAAAAUCCAACCUAAUUCACCAUUGGACCAGAAGAGGACUUUCUGAAGACACAUAAAAUCAGUGCCUUGUACUUUAGUAUCCCGUCCCUAAAGAAAAGUUUGGUUUACUGUCUUCUUUCCAGCUGAGAUAGAAAUGAAGGCUUAACAUUCUCAUUCAAGGUCACUGGCUGUGUUGUCCUCUUGCGGUAGUUGCAAAAUACACUGGGGUGAGGGCAGGUGGUGAAAGAUGAGGAGAACAAAGCUUCAUUACUGUUACCCAUCAGCCCCUGCCCACCAACUGGAGGUCAGGAGAGUACAGAGAGGCAAAAGUCACCUCCACCAGGAAAAGGUUGGAGGUGGUGGAGAGAGGUUCAGCAUGACAGAGUGUGCGCAUGUAUUGGCUGAGGAACACGCACUUUGUUGUAUGUUAGUGAUUGCUCAAUUUGUUUACACGGUAACUCAUUUCUGCUACUGCUCUUUGUUCUUCAGAGAAGAUAGACAACCCAGCAGAGCAGAUCUUUGUUCCUUAUGAGCUCAUCUGCUCCUGCAGCUUGUGCCACACCUGUAAUUAUAAUUAUGGCCCACUGCUUGGGUUGCUGUAAUCCUUUCUAGUGAAACCAAUUGUGAUUUCACCAACAGAGUUACUUAGCAAAGUGAGAAUGCCUGAAUUGAUAGAAUAAGCAUCAUUAGUCCCUUUUAUUGGUUAAUUUGGCUGCACUUAGCCUUCUAUUAAGAUUCAGAUGAUUAACAUUUUUCGGUAAUAUGGAAGCAUCCGUGCACUUUCGAUGGAACUGUGAAGUUAAUAGACUGUAACUGGGCCACUCUGGACAAGCGUAAUAAGCUGAUACCAAGAGAUAAAAGAAGUGGUGCAGCUGCACCUCAGCUAUUACGUUAAUGAAGGAGAGAGAAUCCAUGUGGAAUCGCUGGAAGGAAACUGCUAAGAGAUGGUGUGGGUAAAUCAUCACAUGCUGACUAUUUUGGCCACAUCUUUCUUAUGAGGCCAAGGAUCAUAAACCGAAAACCAACAAACAAAAGUGACUAAGAGAAUGACUAGUUUGCAUGACUAAUGGGAACAACUUAAGAGGAGCUAAAUAUAAACCAUCUGACUAUACAGACUGACUAAACCAGGGGGUAAACAGACCCAACACUCUACCUCCCAGAGGAGAGAACUGGAUUCCAGUCACUGCCACUAACUAAACAUAAUACAGGAAAUGGCAUUUAAAAGAAGAAACCAAUACUAGCCAUGCAUAACAAUUCAAAUUCCUGGUUCCCUUUCUCCGGUCCUGACAUAAGGAAAUCAUGCAGAAGAAGUCCGCUGGCCUAGGGACUGUGGCUCUUUAUCUCUCGGCUUGAUCAUAGAACAAAAUGUGAAGACAACAGUGAAUUUCCUGGUUCCCACCCCCUCAUCUCUGUUUUUCUAUAGUAAAGCUCACUGUCCAGCUCACCAAUACUUUCUACCUGGAAUGACUUCAAAGGAAAAUCUGCUAUGAUUUUCCUAUAUCCUGUCAUAAACUGUAGUUCGUGGUAAGGUGAACGUUUUGCCCACACAACUGGAGUUCGCGGAAGCAUUUUUCCGCUUCUUAUUACCAAACAAGAUGGAGUCAUACCCCGCAGAAAAGCCUUCUGCUGGGAGAAGCUUGCCUUUCAGUCCUGGCUGGUUUCUAACCUUUUAACAAGCUUUCCUGAAGAUGGCGCCACAUGCUCAGCUAUAUUACAACCUGCAUCCUCUCGUGAUCUCUUCUGAAAUCACCAAGUCCCCAAUAGCUACAGAGACUUACAGAAAGACCUGUAGGAAAUGCUACCUUGAAAUGACAUUCUUGUAUUAAAGUGUAAAGAUUAAUCUAAAUCACCCAAGGAAUAAUCUGAUCAGAUCAUCUCGAAAUUUUCAGUUAGGAGAGGGGAUUACACAAAAAAAAUACAGUAAAUGCUAUUUGAGUUAGAUCAAUGGCAGGUUCUGAAAGCCAAAGUCCGUCUCUGACCUUGCUUCUCCUUUGUUCCCUUUUUUCAGUCAAUGACACCAGCUAUUAAGUUGCCAGAGCCAGAAGCUUGAAUGACAUCUUUGAUCCUUCUCUCUACUUUAACUUCCCCACCGGCAGCCCCACAUCCAGUCAGUCACCCAGUCCUAUCUAUUCUAGUCUGUAAAUGUCUUUCAAGUGUGUCCACAUCUCUCCAUUCCCUCUGCUACUAGUGAGGUCCAAAAGUACACCACGUGCCCCCUGCACCACUGCAGGAGUGUGUCAGCCGUUUCCCCUUUAUUACAGCUCAUUCCUCUUAAUCUGCUCUCCACUCUACCUCUACAGUGAUCUUUUGAAAGACAGACCCAAUCAUGUAAUCGCCCUGUUUACAAUCUUCUGUGGCUCCCUAGUGCUCUCAUGUUAAGUCUGAAGUCUUACACAGCCUACAAUGCUUUUUAUAAUCUAGCUGCCUCUUCUUCAGAUUCAUUUUGCAACACCAUCCCACUUGUUCUUUUGCCAUUGUCAUAAUAGAUUCCUCUUCAAUUCCUGGUCUGUUCACCUCAGGGCUAUUUAUUCUUACUCCUGCUUGUGCCCCCAGCAACAGCUGCAACUCAUCCCCCCCAUACCCCAAGCCAUCACAACUUCCAUCCAUCUAACUCAUACUCCUCCAGUAGGUCUCAGCAUAAACAACCAAUUCCUCAUGGAAGAGACCCCUAGAGUACAUUAGGACCUGGAACUCUAUGAUUCCAUAACACCCUGUACUUUCCUAUUUUUUUUGUUGUUGUUGAGGAAGAUUGGCCCUGAGCUGGUAUCUGUUGCCCAUCUUCCUCUAUUUUAUAUGUGGGAUGCUGCCACAGUGUGGCUUGAUGAGAAGUGCUAGAUGCGUGUCUGGGAUCCAAACCCGUGAAGCUUGGGCUGCCGAAUGGAGUGCAGGAACUUAACCACUUGGCCACUGGGCCAGCCCCUCUACUUUCCUACUUUUAAUAGCCAUCUCACUUUAUCAUAAUUAUUCAUGUGUUUUUCCCCUGCUCAAUUGUAAGGUCUGUGAAACCAGGGACAGUGUCUGUCCUUAGGCAGUAUUCUUACAAUGACCUAUAAGGCCUUCCAUCACCUGCCUCCCUCACCUUACAUUUCUGCCCUUACCACCUGUGGUCCUCCCUCAUUUCUCUGCUUCAUCCUCCCUGCUUGUUCCUCUAACUUGCUUUCUCUAGCUUGGCCUCUUUGCUGCUCCUUUAACUUUCUAGGCAUGGUCCUGCCUCAAGGCCUUCACACUUGCUAUAUUCCUUCCACCUAGAAUGCACUUCCUUCUGGUUUCUGUGGGGCUCUCUCCCUCGCUUGCUGCAGAUUUUUAUUCAAAGGCCACAUUCUCAGUGGAGUCUUCUCUGACCAUCCAAUCUGUCACUCUAGCUGUGCCGCCCCCCCCCCCCCCCCCAUAUUACUAUCCCUCUGUCUGCUGUAUUUUUCCCCUUAGCUCUUGUCACUGUCUAAUAUACUUUCAUGGUUUGCUAUCCAGCUCCCUCCCCUAGCAUGUAAGCCCCACUAGGGCAGGACUUUUGUCUCUUUGGUUCAUUGCUGGGAUUCAUCCUGGGACUGUGCCUGGCACAAAGUCGUCACUGGAACUGUUCAUCCUAGUCCCACCCUGGUGACUUCAUAAAUAAAGCCUUUUCAUCUUUUUUGGUACUAAAUCGUUCUAAUUUAUGGGCAGGGAGAACAUUGUCUUCACCUGGAAGGUCUUCCCUCUUCCUGAUUGCUUUAGCUUCCUCUUUCUAGAACUAGUACGUCUUUUGAGGGGGAUGGAAAGAUCAGAACUAGAAAUAAAUCUUUCCCUGACAAUAUAAAAGCUUCAGUUUACCUUUGCUUUUAAGUUUCAGUUGUUUCCAAAUAAUAAAUGUCCUGAAAACUAAGAGAAGAUUUGGUGUGAGGCCAGAGCUAACAGUCUUGUUAAAAACGUCUCCACCUGGCCAGUCCCUGGGUCAUGGUCCCUUCUCUUUCUGUUAACCGAUGAGACACUCAGAGAAAAACUCUGAUUCCGUCAAGUCAAGGGGGCACUUUUUAUGUUGAAACCCACGGAUUUGCCUGGCUGUACAACUAGCCUGAUCAUUUGGGUAGAAAUGUGAGGUUUCUAAAGCCAAACCAGCUGUGCAGUUAGAAGAAGCCCAAUUUCCUGAGCAGGAAACAGCAAAGAAGAGUGGGGUUAAAUGAUUGCAAUGUGGGUAUACCGUCAUUUUGUAAAAUUCCAACACCUUGCAAUGAUGGACAACUCUAGAGAAAAACAACAUUCAGUCUUGCAAUAUGUAAGGCUGAUUCAUGGCUAAUGAUUUAUCACGGAUGUUUGAUUCAAAUUCCAUUUUCAGAGUUAGAAGAUGAGCAAACAGAUGCUCACCACCCUCUAAUUUCAAGGGAAUAUCAUAUUGCAACUGCAAUUAAGCACAGUUUCUAUAUGAACGUGUGAAAUAUUGUUACCGAGAAAACCGAGAUGAUCAUUUAUAAUACAAAAUAGAAGUGAAAAGAAAUACUUUAUACCAAAAUUUGAAUUUUUGACAGAAGAUACAGAUCCUAGUUAAUUAAAGCCAAAGGAAAGGAGAAAAUUUAACGCCAUAUUUGGUUGGGAGUGUAAGCACGAGAUUUGAAAAAGCAGCUCAUGCCAUUUUCUCAUUAUAAAGUAGCAAAAGACUUGCCAACAAAGAGGAAAUCAGCACCCUCAGGUUUUACAUCAGAGCAAGGACCAGCAUCGUGUUAUCCUACAACGGCAUUUCAAACAUCACCAUGCCAGAUGGGCUAUUACAAGAAAUGCAUAAAAUGUUCCAGAACAGUCAAUUUCUUUGUGUUUUGUAACUAGAUCUAACAUAAUAUAUUCUCCCUGAAAGAAAGUAUUCCUGGAUCAACCAACUCUCAGUUCUUGUGUCAUAUUCAGGGUCACUUUCAUUCACAGAAAGCCUCUGCAAAGUCCACAGGAAAGCUUGACCCUG
ensembl:lncRNA